GCCCCAGUAGCUCAACGGACAGAGCGGUGGACUUCUAAUCCUCAGGUUGUGGGUUCGAUUCCCACCUGGGGCA
rnacentral:tRNA from 1 species